AGAGUGAACGCUGGCGGCAGGCCUAACACAUGCAAGUCGAACGGCAGCACAGCAGAGCUUGCUCUGUGGGUGGCGAGUGGCGGACGGGUGAGGAAUACGUCGGAAUCUGCCUUUUUGUGGGGGAUAACGUAGGGAAACUUGCGCUAAUACCGCAUACGACCUACGGGUGAAAGCGGAGGACCUUCGGGCUUCGCGCAGAAAGAUGAGCCGACGUCGAUUAGCUAGUGGAGGGUAAUGGCCCACCAAGGCGACGAUCCGUAGCUGGUCUGAGAGGAUGAUCAGCCACACUGGGACUGAGACACGGCCCAGACUCCGUACGGGACGGCAGCGAGGUGGGGAAAUAGUUAGGACAAGUGGGGCGACAACG
rnacentral:rRNA from 1 species